GGGGGGGGGGGGGGGGGGGGGGGGGGGGUGGGGGGGGAGCGGGGAAGGCGUGCGGGGGGGUACUGGUGGCGCACGGGUGAGGAACGCGUGGAUAAUCUGCCUUAGAGUGGGGGAUAACUAGUCGAAAGAUUAGCUAAUACCGCAUAAGACCACGAGAGCUGCGGCUUUUGAGGUCAAAGGUUUUUCGCUCUAAGAUGAGUCCGCGUAAGAUUAGCUAGUUGGUGAGGUAACGGCUCACCAAGGCGACGAUCUUUAACUGGUCUGAGAGGAUGAUCAGUCACACUGGAACUGAGACACGGUCCAGACUCCUACGGGAGGCAGCAGUAGGGAAUAUUGCACAAUGGAGGAAACUCUGAUGCAGCGACGCCGCGUGAGUGAUGAAGGCCUUCGGGUCGUAAAGCUCUGUCGCAGGGGAAUAACACAAUGAAGGUACCCUGUAAGAAAGGAUCGGCUAACUUCGUG
rnacentral:rRNA from 1 species